AUGUGGGAGGAAUGCUUGCCUCAUAUUGAAUUUGCUUAUAAUCGUUCAUUGCAUUCUACUACUAAGAUGUGCCCUUUUGAAGUUGUGUAUGGUUUCCUACCUCGUGCACCUAUUGAUUUGUUGCCUCUUCCAUCUUCGGAGAAGGUUAAUUUUGAUGCUAAACAACGUGCUGAAUUGAUUUUAAAAAUGCAUGAGUUAACUAAGGAAAACAUUGAGCGUAUGAAUGCUAAAUGUAAACUUGCUGGAGAUAAGGGUAGAAAACAUGUUGUGUUUGCACCUGGAGAUCUUGUUUGGUUACAUUUGCGUAAGGAUAGAUUUCCUGAUUUGCGCAAAUCAAAGUUAAUGCCACGUGCUGAUGGUCCCUUUAAGGUGUUAGAGAAAAUAAAUGAUAAUGCAUAUAAACUUGAGCUGCCUGCAGAUUUUGGGGUUAGUCCCACUUUUAACAUUGCAGAUUUGAAGCCUUAUUUGGGUGAGGAAGAUGAACUUCCGUCGAGGACGACUUCAUUUCAAGAAGGGGAGGAUGAUGAGGACAUCAAUACAAUUGUUACACCCACAGCCCCUGCUGCUAUACAUACUGGACCAAUUACUAGAGCUCGUGCACGCCAACUAAAUUACCAGGAAACAGACCCUCGUGGUCAGGUUGAUCGUGCUCCGGCGUGGUCAAUAACCUCUCGUAGUUGGUUUAGCGAUUGCUAA
rnacentral:rRNA from 1 species